rnacentral:lncRNA from 1 species
CACACACGUCACACCCUUACCCAAACAGCAAUCUCACCUGAGAAGUAGGUAUCAAAGGGAGAGAAACUAGGGAUUGAAUAACUGCAGUUGACAUUAGCUAAGUAAAUGGAAGAAUACUCUUAUUGCAAUGUGGAUGGCUUAUAAAGGGUCUUUGGUUGUGCAUAGUGUAGUCUUUGGUGUUGCCUGGGAACAGCACCCUCUUCGAAGAAGUAGGAGGUGAAGAUCUCCUGCAUACGGAUUGCCUCUCUUGCUGCAUUGUUGGACCCCAUCCUUGAAACAUCCUGCAGAGCAGCAGACUUCUCCUCUGGCACACACAGUGCGAAAUGGAUUAUCAACGCCAUAAUACCUCAUGUCCUUUGAGAAUACUUUGCCUUUUUAAUCUGGUAUCCUCUGUAUUGUUGUCCAACUGUCCUCAUAUCUGUGACCCAGGCUUCAUUAUUAACAAGUGUAAGUGUGUCCCUUGUCUCGAUGGCCACUACUGGUACACGCAGAACGGCCUUCCGAAGUGUGACCCCUGCAGCAAAGCCUGCUCAGUUGAUCAGCACUUGACACAGGUGAAGGAAUGCAGCCGGGACUCAAACCGUGAGUGCCACUGUGACAGCGGCUUUUUCUGUGACAUCGCUGCCCAGUAUACCUGCAGGAGGUGUAAGCCGUGCUCUCCCGGAACCUUCUCCAACAAACCAAACCUAACCAUGUCCUGCAAACCCCACACAGAUUGUGGCCAUAAGGGAAUGAUCAUGGUGACAGAGGGCACUGCCUCUCAGGAUCGUGUAUGUGCCCAGACCUCCCCUAACUCUCCUACAACCACUGCACCUCCAACUGUCCACAGCUCAGAGAUAGGCUUUCAUUCUUCUACCUCCAGUGGAGUCAGCACCACCCGAAAACCCCCCAUCAUAGCAUUCCCAUCUAGACUGGUGGGGUCUACAUCUCCUGAUGCCUUUCCCAAAGCCAUAAUUUACACAUCUGCAGACCCUUUACCAGCCUUACUCACCAGGCCUUCUUUGUCCCAAGCCCAGAGCGAGCCCUCUACCUCCCUCCCAACUAGGAAACAAGUCACUGAACACAGCUCCUUUGACCCCAACACAAAGCUUACCACCAGGAGAAACCCCAGCAAGGUGGACAGUAACACCUCACCUGCAGAGUCUGCCUCUACACCUCCUCUUACCACAGAAGACAACGACUCACCUUAUCUUUCAGCAACAGAUACUGGACCGAGCCCUCCCACUCUCCCUUGGCUGCUGCUGAUAGGUGGGCUACUAGGGGUUGUCGUGCUGCUGGUUGGUUACUUUGUCCGUUGUAGGGAGAGGUCACUGAAGUCCAUGGACAAGUGGAAAGGUCCAGUAUUUGGUAAAAAUACGGAUUCCUAUAUACAGGCCCAGCCACCACAGGAGAGUUGCCCACACCUGGAGGCCCAGCAUCUUCUGGGGAGGGAGACUGGGGGAAAUCCUAGACAGGAUGGUGCAGGGUUGCUACCUCCAGGGGUCAUGAAGCAGCUCACAGUGGACCACUCUGGAGGAGAGAACAUUAGCAACACAGUGGGGUCCAUUUACAUCUACUCUCCGGGGACGGUUGUCCUGGGAUACAACAAGUCGGAGAGGAAGGUGGAUCAAGUGGAGAGUGGAGUAGAGGGCUGUCCCCUCACCAGAACACCCCAGCAGGAGUCCUCCUGCCCCCUCCCUGAGGGCCCUGCUCUGGGGCCAGAGAGAAUGAGUACACAGGAGGAGACCUGCAAAGAGCUGAGAUACCCCAUCCCGGCCACCAGCAACUGGGAACUAGAAAAAAAAUGAAAUUGAGGAUUAACUAUGGAAAAAGCCUGAGGAGGAGCAACUUCAUUCAAUAUCAAAUAUCAUCUCUAGGGCAAGAAUGCAGACAGAAUAUUAUUUGCUACUGUAAAGACUGUUAGACUGGAUGGCUUCCUUCUGUACAAGGAUUGCAAAAGCCACUGGGGUCCCUCAGGGGUCUUCUAUUAUGAAUGAGUGACAGUUUGUUCCAACUGUAUGUAAUAGUCUUAGCACGGUUUCAAAUUCACUGUAAGUCACUGUUGUGACAGCAGUGCUGGGACAGUAUUUGAGAGCAAUGCAUGGUCUGUUUGAUAUGGGGUGUCGACACUGUGAGUCGGAGUUUCCCAUAAUUGGGUACAUGUACACAAUGGCGCCAGAUCGUGUGAGAGUCUAAGUGUAUCAACCACAGAAACAGUGAAGACAAGAAAUUCAUAUGAGGUGUGAAGUAACCUAUGUAACCAUGAUACAAGUAGGGUUUGGGGUGUGAAGAGCUUACAAUUUCCAUUGUAAAGUAAUACAGUAAUACCAUGUUCACGGGUUACAACCUUUGUUCUGUGAAUCUAUGAUCAAGACAUUGCUAUGUACAGUAGCCUACAGGACGAAGACAGAAGAAAGAUGACUUUAUAACAGACAAUAGCAAUCUGUUCCAGUCUAUUCCUUGACAGAAAUGUACACAAAUGAACAAACUAUUUCAAGUCACCUCUUUAUGGUGAAACCACUUAUGUAGUUGACUAUGACUAUGUGCAGCCAAUCACUGUCUGUUAAUCAUGCAAAUGUAAUAUUUUGUCUGUUUGACAAAUGCAUGUGACGUAGGCUAUGCCAUAGCAUGAGCUGUUUUUUUUAUCCUUCAGAAAUUGUAGAACUGUUUCAAGCAAGUGUUUACCGACAAAAUACAAUUUACGAUGAUUUCUGUAUUAGUAUGGAGGAAUGAAAAAUGGUCUCUCUUUUAUAUAGUAGUAGUGCUGAAAAUGUUGACUCAACAUUUUGUGAUUAACAUACCAAAUUUGGCACAGAUGUAGAUGUACAGUGCCUUUGAAAAGUAUUCAGACCCCUUGAUUUUUUCCCACUUUUUGUUACGUUACAGCCUCACUCUAAAACAGAUGAUCUAAAAAAAAAUCCUCAGCACUCUACACACAAUACCCCAUAAUGACAAAGCGAAAACAGGUUUUUAGACAUUUUUGCAAAUGUAGGGGUUAUUCGGCUGUCCGCAUAGGAGAACCCUUUUUGGUUCCAUGUAGAACCCUUUACCCUCGACAUGGAACCUGGAACCAAAAAGGUGUUUUACCGGGAACCAAAAAGGUGUUUUGGUUCCAGGUACUCUGGAACCAAAAAGGUGUUUUACCUGGAACCAAAAAGGUGUUUUACCUGGAUCCAAAAAGGGUUCUUCAAAGGGUUCUCCUAUGGGGACAGCCAAAGAACCCCUAUAAAUGUGUUAAAACAUUUUUUAUAUUUGUAUAGUGUUGUGUUACAAAGGGUUAAUGAAAGAAAGUGUUACUGCUUGACACUGCCUCUUUGCAAUCAUUACCGGUUUGGGUACAGUACGUGGACGACUUGAGGAAAUUGACUGAAAGGUUACUGCAGUGCAAAGACGCCCUCAGUUUCCUUAGCUGGUCAGCAGUUCAAGGAAACGCGCGCUUUUGUUUCAGGUUGUAAUUCGAGUGUUUUUCUGUAGGCUACCUAUACGGUUUCAGUAUGGACUUUUUCGCAAGAUCUUAAAGGGUCAAUAAUAGUUCAAUCAAUCAUGAUACUAAGGACCGUAAGUGGCGUUCUUACAGUGAGGAUUUUUCUAGCAAUCAUGGUGCAGCCUGUUGAGAACAUGGUAAGUGUCCUUCAGACGUGAAUGUUGUGUGACGCGACCAUGACAACGAGAAACAGGUCCGUGUAACUGGUGCAGCCUGACCAAUGUUUAGCUAAAUGGGAUACUCUUUGCAGUGUUGUAUGAUCAUCAGAUCAGAUCAUCAGUCUGAUUUUAAAUAGCGAAUCAUUAAUCAUUGAUUGUUAACAAUUAUCUAGGUCAAUGAAUUGUGUGUGUGCGAGAGAAUGUUGUGUUGUCUUGGAUUUUUCAACUUAAUUUGUCAAGGUAUUGUGACAUAGAAUAUAUGUUUAAAAUACAUAGGAUUUGAAAAAAAAGUCAACAUAAACUGUUGUUUUCAGAGUGAAAUUUAAGGAUUAUGUUAUCGUUGUGACCAAUUUUCAACAUAGAGAAACCUUAUGAAAUAUGUUGAAUUUGUACCUUUGAAACCACGUCAGAUCUUCAACAUUAUAUCCACUAUCAGAAAAAACCAAAGUCUAGGCAGCAUCUACUAGUGGAGAGUUGUCUAACAGGUGUUAAUUUGGUCUCCCAUCCAUGGUUUUAACCAAGCCCAGCACUGCUUAGCUUUGUUGUUUGUUGCUGACUACUACAUGUACCAAUGUCAUAUCAUGAGAAUAAGUAUUGAGAGAUCUCUUAAUAACGAAAUAUAUUCACUGUUGCUGUCGAAGUCAUUCCAAAAGGUUGGUUUAACAGAGCAAAUGAAAUGUAACCAUACUUUAUGUCAUAUCAUCAAUGAUACUAUUUAGGCCUAUACAGAAUUUGCAAAGUCAACAACAUUGUUGUUGUCUAUUAAUGUUGUGUAUUAUGUCAUGUUUCAUGUUUUGUGUGGACACCAGGAAGAGUAGCUACUGCUGUUGCAACAACUAAUGUGGAUCCUAAUAAAAUACCCCAAAAUACCAAAAAAUAGCAAUUGUUUCAAUUCAACCCAAGGUUCAACUAAAAAUAGACAAUACAUAUCGGCCUAGGUUUUCAAACUUUGGUUGAUUUCAAAUGUAAUCUUCAAGUUAUUCAUUCAUUUGUUGAAUUCACAUCUCCAUUUCAACCUAAAAUCUAAGUUAAAGAAUAGGAAUAUAUCAAACUGGAUUUAAAGUUUGAAUAUAUUACAUUUAGUCCUAUUGUUUAACUUACAUUUUUGUUUGACAUAGAGAUCUAACAUAUAAAUUAUUAAUUUGUAGACAAACUGGAUUUUUAUUUCUUUUAUUUUUUAUUUCACCUUUAUUUAACCAGGUAGGCAAGUUGAGAAGAAGUUCUCAUUUACAAUUACGACCUGGCCAAGAUAAAGCAAAGCAGUUUGACACAUACAACAACACAGAGUUACACAUGGAGUAAAACAAACCUACAGUCAAUAAUAUAGUAGAAAAAUAAGUCUAUAUACAAAGUGAGCAAAUGAGGUGAGAUAAGGGAGGUAAAGGCAAAAAAAGGCCAUGGUGGCGAAGUAAAUACAAUAUAGCAAGUAAAACACUGGAAUGGUAGAUUUGCAGUGGAAGAAAGUGCAAAGUAGAAAUAGAAAUAACAGGGUGCAAAGGAGCAAAAUAAAUACAGUAGGGGAAGAGGUAGUUGUUUGGGCUAAAUUAUAGAUGGGCUAUGUACAGGUGCAGUAAUCUGUGAGCUGCUCUGACAGCUGGUGCUUAAAGCUAGUGAGGGAGAUAAGUGUUUCCAGUUUUAGAGAUUUUUGUAGUUCGUUCCAGUCAUUGGCAGCAGAGAACUGGAAGGAGAGGCAGCCGAUGGAGGAAUUGGCUUUGGGGGUGACCAGAGAGAUAUACCUGCUGGAGCGCGGGCUACAGGUGGGUGCUGCUAUGGUGACCAGCAAGCUGAGAUAAGGGGGAACUUUACCUAGCAGGGUCUUGUAGAUGACCUGGAGCCAGUGGGUUUGGCGACGAGUAUGAAGCGAGGUCCAGCCAACAAGAGCGUACAGGUCGCAGUGGUGGGUAGUAUAUGGGGCUUUGGUGACAAAACGGAUGGCACUGUGAUAGACUGCAUCCAGUUUGUUGAGUAGGGUAUUGGAGGCUAUUUUGUAAAUGACGUCGCCGAAGUCGAGGAUUGGUAGGAUGGUCAGUUUUACGAGGGUAUGUUUGGCAGCAUGAGUGAAAGAUGCUUUGUUGCGAAACAGGAAGCCAAUUCUAGAUUUAACUUUGGAUUGGAGAUGCUUAAUGUGAGUCUGGAAGGAGAGUUUACAGUCUAACCAGACACCUAGGUAUUUGUAGUUGUCCACAUAUUUUAAGUCAGAACCGCCCAGAGUAGUGAUGAUGGACGGGUGGGCAGGUGCAGGCAGCGAUCGGUUGAAGAGCAUGCAUUUAGUUUUACUUGUAUUUAAGAGCAGUUGGAGGCCACGGAAGGAGAGUUGUAUGGCAUUGAAGCUCGUCUGGAGGGUAGUUAACACAGUGUCCAAAGAAGGGCCAGAUGUAUACAGAAUGGUGUCGUCUGCGUAGAGGUGGAUCAGAGACUCACCAGCAGCAAGAGCAACAUCAUUGAUGUAUACAGAGAAAAGAGUCAGCCCAAGAAUUGAACCCUGUGGCAUCCCCAUAGAGACUGCCAGAGGCCCGGACAACAGGCCCUCCGAUUUGACACACUGAACUCUAUCAGAGAAGUAGUUGGUGAACCAGGCAAGGAAAUCAUUUGAGAAACCAUGGCUAUUGAGUCUACCGAUGAGGAUGUGGUGAUUGACAGAGUCGAAAGCCUUGGCCAGGUCAAUGAAUACGACUGCACAGUAUUGUUUCUUAUCGAUGGCGGUUAAGAUAUCAUUUAGGAUAGUAAAUUGUGUUUGGUUGUCAACACAACCAAAUAUCAGAUGUAUCUUCUGCUUGGAUAGUUCAAUCUGUGCCAUUGACUUAAUUCGGCUUUAAUUCCAGUUUGUCUACAAAUUAAUAAUUCAUAUGUUGGAUUCACGUCUCCAUCUCAACCAAAACUCAAAGUUAAAGAAUAGGAUUAAAUCAGAUCAAAUCAAACUUUAAAUGCACUUUAAAUCAUGUUUGAUCUUGGUUGAGAUGAAGACGUGAAUCCAACAUAUGAAUUAUUAAUUUGUAGACAAACUGGAAUCAAAGCCAGACUAAGUCAGUGGCACAAAAGAGACUUAUCAUUCAAAUGUUGAUAUUUGGUUUUGUUGAGAACCAAACACAAUGCAAUAUCCCUUUAGCAAUACAGUAAAUAUCCUAUUAACUUGAAACAGAUAUAGGAUCUUAAUUUGAUCACUAUUUUCAAAUCAAAUUGUAUUAGUCACGAAUACAACAGGUCUAGACCUUACAGUGAAAUGCUUACUUACGAGCCCUUAACCAACAGUGCAGUUAAAAAAUAUAUGGAUAAGAAUAAGAGAUAAAAUUAACAAGUAAUUAAAGAGCAGCUGUAAAAAAUAACAAUAUAUACAGGGGUGCCGGUAUAGAGUCAAUGUGCGGGGGCACCGGUUAGUUGAGGUAGUAUGUACAUGUAGGUAGAGUUAUUAAAGUGACUAUGCAUAGAUGACAACAGAGAGUGGCAGUGGUGUGGAGAGGGGAGGGAGGGCAAUGUGAAUAGUCUGGGUAGCCAUUUGACUAGAUGUUCAGGAGUCUUAUGGCUUGGGGGUAGAAGCUGUUUAGAAGCCUCUUGGACCUAGACUUGGUGCUCCGGUACCGCUUGCCAUGUGGUAGCACAGAGAACAGUCUAUGACCAUACCAGGCAGUGAUACAACCAGUCAGGAUGCCCUCGAUAGUGCAGCUGUAGAACCUUUUGAGGAUCUGAGGAUUCCCCCUCAGUCUCCUGAGGGGGAAUAGGUUUUGUCAUGCCUGCUUCACGACUGUCUUGGUGUGCUUGGACCAUGUUAGUUUGUUGGUGAUGUGGACACCAAGGAACUUGAAGCUCUCAACCUGCUCCACUACAGCCCCUGUAGUCCACAAUCAUCUCCUUUGUCUUGAUCACGUUGAGGGAGAGGUUGUUGUCCUGGCACCACACGGCCAGGUCUCUGACCUCCUCCCUAUAGGCUGUCUUGUUGUUGUCGGUGAUCAGGCCUCUACCACUGUUGUGUCAUCGGCAAAUUUAAUGAUGGUGUUGGAGUCGUGCCUGGCCGUGCAGUCAUGAGUGAACAGGGAGUACAGGAUGGGGCUGAGCACGCACCCCUGAGGGGCCCCUGUGUUGAGGAUCAGCGUGGCGGAUGUGUUGUUACCUACCCUUACCACCUGAGGGCGGCCCGUCAGGAAGUCCAGGAUCCAGUUGCGGAGGGAGGUGUUUAGUCCCAGAGUCCUUAGCUUAUUGAUGAGCUUUGAGGGCACUAUGGUGUUGAACGCUAAGCUGUAGUCAAAGAAUAGCAUUCUCACAUAGGUGUUCCUUUUGUCCAGGUGGGAAAGGGCAGUGUGGAGUGCAGUAGAAAUUGCAUCAUCUGUGGAUCUGUUGGGGCGUUAUGCAAAUUGGAGUGGGUCUAGUGUUUCUGGGAUGAUGGUGUUGAUGUGAGCCAUGACCAGCCUUUCAAAGCACUUCAUUGCUACAGACGUGAGUACUACGGGUCGGUAGUCAUUUAGGCUGAGAAUUCUCCUGCACGGCAGGAAAUGCGAACGUCUAAUGUAUUCGAUCUUUAAAAAGGCUUCUAAAGUUUGUCAUUUACACUUUAAAAUGUCCGAAUUGUCCUAACGAAAACAUUUUUUUCAUUAAUUAUAAUCCACAUAAUAAUUCACAUUUCCUCUUGCUGCAGGAUCCUGCUGUAGCAAACAGGCUCAAAAUAAGAUCCUACGCCUGUAUGUUGGAUUCACAUCUCUAACUAAAUAGAAUAGGUGAAUAGGAUUAAGCCAGUGGCUCAGAUGAAACUAUCCCCGCAUUAGAUAUCCAUUAAACGAUGUCCACCAAACACAAUUCAAAAUUACUUUUGUAAUACACGAAAUAGCCUAAAGUUAAGGCAAUCUUAUAAACUAGGUCUAACAGUAUUUAUUCAAACUUAAAAUGUGUAACACAUCCUUUGCCACAUUUGGAGGUUAGCCCACUGUAGCCUAACUAUAAAUUUCCUCUUAUGUCCUCAUAGGAAGUGUGUAUGUUCAAGAUAGCAGGGCAAAGGUCGCAGGUCUGCCAAGUUCCUCUAAUAAUCUGUGCAGAAUCUCGAACAGCUGUGAUCAUUUGUACUUUUAAUGUAGCCUAAUCUCAACUGCAAUCCAGGUCAUUUGGUUGUGCUAAUAACACAUUAAAUGAUUGUAUAAUAACAAAAUAUCGGACAUUGUUUUCCCUUUUGAACUUUGUUGUGCUUUUAAAUUUUGCCCAGUUGGUUGUUUCUUAUUAGUAGGGCACCAGGACAGGGGGUUGAAUAAAGUAUGUCAACCUGUCACAAGAAGAAUCAGGAUGCUUCUGAAAGUAUACAGAAGACAAUGGCAUGCUAUGUAAACCAUGGCAAAGGGGCUAUGCACCAAAUUUGGCACAGCACCAGAUGUAAUGAUCUUCUAUAGCCUAUCAAUACCACUCAUACUAGCCUAUGACUUAUAAAUGAUUUGUAUGGUAUUUUUUUUGUAGCACCUUCACUUCCUCCAAUGUUUGAAAGAUAUCUGUAUUGGUUUCGGGAUGACAUGAUUUCAAAUUGGAUAACCUAUGGUCUGUAUAGUAUGCUUGCAGCGUUGAUAUUUUGUUUUUUCAGCAAUGGAUUAUUUGUUUGUUUGGAAAAAAUAUAUUGCACAGAGCACCUAGGUGCAAAAGCGUUUCAUUCAUUAUUAAUUUCACCAUCAAAAGAAACGGAUGUUUUUGUAAAGCUCAAUAUUUCAUUUUCAGGCUUAACUCGAGUGUUCCACAAAACUAAACACAUCAAAUCAGGAAAACUCCUGAUUCAGUUUUCUGAUUUGAUAUGUUUGUUUUGGAUGGCUGCCAUAAAUGAAAAGGAAAUGCCUGUCAGAAGAGACAUUCUGUCCAUUGUAGAGAGGACGAUAGUGAGAGGCCUUGGCAGCGACAUAUCUUUGGUAUUCAGACGUCAUAGCCAGUCCUUGACAACUUAUUGGAAAUCUCUCCGAUCUCCUCAACCACUUCCUGUCAAACAGAGACAGACAGAUUGUUUAAAAAAAAAAAAAGUUUUACUGUCUGUAUAUUGUGUCUUGUGUCUACUGGCAAACAAUUACUAUACCACAAAUGUGUUAGUGUAUAUUCCCCAGUCCCCAACAGAUAGAAUAGGUCUUCUUUUUUUGCUGACACAAUACCCAACCCUCAGGUUCUACACUUAGAAAAAAAGGUGCUAUCUAGAACCUAAAACGGUUAUUCGGCUGCCCCCAUAGGAGAACCCUUUGAAGAACCCUUCUUGGUUUCAGGUAGAACCCUUUUGGGUUCCAUGUUAAAACCUUUCCAUGGAACCCAAAAGAGCUCUACCUGGAACCAAAAAGGGUUCUCCUAUGGGGAUAGCCGAAUAACCCUUUUGGAACCCUUUCUUCUAAGAGUGUACUAGCGGUUUAAAUAGAAGGCUCUUGGUGGGGCAUGUUACUCAUCACUCCUUCUCCUGAUCAGGUGCACUUCAUGGUCCCCUCGUCCCUACAGGUGUACACUCUGCCAUACGCACCAGACUCUGACGGAUCCUGCCACAACAAAACAGCUGAAUACUAUAACGCAGAGGUAAACCUCUGCUGCAGCAAGUGUACUUCUGGGACACGCCGGAAAGAUCUAUGCAGCUCUACCUCAGACACGGCGUGUGAACCAUGUCCUAGAGGCCAGUACAGUGGGACCUUUAAUUACUUCGCAAAAUGCUUCAGAUGUCCCAAGUGUUCAGCAGACAAAGGCCUGAAGUAUGUCCAGAAGUGCUCCAGCACCACCAAGACUCAGUGUGCGUGCCAGACUGGGAUGUACUGCGUACUGAACCAACACCCGGACUGUGAGGAGUGUGCAAAUUUGACAUACUGCAAGCCUGGUUAUGGGGUCUCUGUAGAAGGUACCAUAGCUGGACAGGAGGCUGGGACAGCAGAGUCGGAUGUGGAAUGUGCAUCAUGCCCCGAUGGAACCUUCUCUGACCAGUACUCCUACACCCAGAUCUGCCAGCACCACACAGAUUGUCUGUCUCAGGGGAGGGACGUACUGACUUACGGUACAGCCACCACCGAUGCGGUGUGUGGACCGAAGGUAAACGGACGACUGGUCUCCAUCCUCCAAACCACCACACCUCCAAGCCCACCGACCACAAUGCCACCCUCUGGUAAAGGGCAUACCACAUCAAGUCUACAGAGCAUGGAUACGUCUACAGUUCCAACCACCCGAGGCUCAAAGCUGACAUCUAGUCCCUCUGAUCCACGGGUCAUCGCUCCAACGGAAGAAAAAUCACCAGGCAUUAACCUCUGGAUAGUUGCAGGUGCUAUCGGAGGUGCUAUGUUCCUGCUGCUGAUCGUAGGCACUGUCAUUUACAAGAAAGCCUUCACAAACUUCAUACGUGUAUCUUCUACAGAAGAUAUAAAUGGAAAUUCUGAGAAGGAGGCCAUUAAAUGUCUGCUGGGGAAAGGAGACUGCAGUAAUGUCGGUCAGGCAGAGACCCAGCAGGAUGCUAUUAAGACCUGGUCAGGCUCAGGGUGCUCCAACAGCCUGGAUGGCUUGUCAAUAAGCCCCGUCCAGUCCACCAUUCCACAGCCCAGCAUCCUGGCCAGCACCCCCCCAGCCCAGCCCCCAAUCCACCAGCCCCCUGGCAUCUGUACCCCUAGUUAAUGUCAACAUCACUGUUACCUACCCUGUGAACAUAGGAAAUGAGUUAUGCUCCAGACCUACCAGCACCCAGAUAGACUCACCACAAGCUGACCCCGAGGCCCCUUUAUCAAGGGAGGAGGAGGUGUAUGUGAACAUGCCACAGCGAGAGGGUUGCAAAGAGGCACUUACGGCAGUACAGGAGUUUGGAAAUGAUGUAUGAGGACUGGAGGCAUAUAGGGGAGGGUUAGACAAUAGAUUGUGUUUUAGUGAUGCUUUUUUUUACUGUAACUGUUGUCUCUGUUGUUAUGUGGUUGCUACUUGAAGUACUGGUGGUGACUUUGUGUUGGUAGAGAGAGACCGAAUGACUGUUCAUGUGCCUCAGGUAGGAUUUCCCAAACUUUGCACGUUUUGCAUAAGUUAUACCCAGGGAGGGUCCCAGGACCGAGUUUUGGAAACCCUGAUAUAACGUGCUGUCUGUGCUGGAAAGUCUUGAACACCUGAUUUAGAUUGUCAGCGACUGUUUGAAGGAUUAUUGAUAAGUGAAUUAUGUGGUGCAUGUGAAUGUUGUUGUAAGGAUACUGUAAAUGUUACACGGCUCAAGGUAUCCCAAAAUCUUUUAUCAUAAGUAGGCAAUAUGGGUUUAUUUUCUCUUGUGUUUGUGGGUGGUUGUUCCAUGUAUAGUCAUUGUACUGUUCAGGACUGGUUUUCGUCGUUCUUUUGUUCAGUGUUCUUUUCUUUAAUAAAUCAAGAAGAUGAUUCACAUCCCCGCUGCAGUUUGGUCCGAUCAUUAUGAUGCUUAUGACACUGCGCCACAUGAGAUUUCAUUUGUGUUCUUAUGAGAGAAGAGCAUGCCUAUACUUUCCAGAGUAC